rnacentral:rRNA from 1 species
UCAAGUAGGCCGGCAGCUACCAUGCAGUCGAGCGGAAACAAAGAGUAGCUUGCUACUCUGGUGACGAGCGGCGGACGGGUGAGUAAUGCUUGGGAACAUGCCUUGAGGUGGGGGACAACAGUUGGAAACGACUGCUAAUACCGCAUAAUGUCUACGGACCAAAGGGGGCUUCGGCUCUCGCCUUUAGAUUGGCCCAAGUGGGAUUAGCUAGUUGGUGAGGUAAUGGCUCACCAAGGCGACGAUCCCUAUCUGGUUUGAGAGGAUGAUCAGCCACACUGGGACUGAGACACGGCCCAGACUCCUACGGGAGGCAGCAGUGGGGAAUAUUGCACAAUGGGCGCAAGCCUGAUGCAGCCAUGCCGCGUGUGUGAAGAAGGCCUUCGGGUUGUAAAGCACUUUCAGUCAGGAGGAAAGGUUAAUAGUUAAUACCUGCUAGCUGUGACGUUACUGACAGAAGAAGCACCGGCUAACUCCGUGCCAGCACCCGCGGUAAUACGGAGGGUGCGAGCGUUAAUCGGAAUUACUGGGCGUAAAGCGUACGCAGGCGGUUUGUUAAGCGAGAUGUGAAAGCCCCGGGCUCAACCUGGGAACUGCAUUUCAAACUGGCAAACUAGAGUGUGAUAGAGGGUGGUAGAAUUUCAGGUGUAGCGGUGAAAUGCAUAGAGAUCUGAAGGAAUACCGAUGGCGAAGGCAGCCACCUGGGUCAACACUGACGCUCAUGUACGAGAGCGUGGGGAGCAAACGAGAUUAGAUACUGUGGUAGUCA